rnacentral:rRNA from 1 species
CUGGUUGAUCCUGCCAGUAGUCAUAUGCUUGUCUCAAAGACUAAGCCAUGCAUGUCUAAGUAUAAAUAACUACACAGUAAAACUGCGAAUGGCUCAUUAAAACAGUUAUAGUUUAUUUGAUAUAACAAAUGGAUAACUGUAGAAACACUAGAGCUAAUACAUGCCAUAACCGUAAGGUUGUAUUUAUUAGAUAUUCCUGGUUGGUGAUUCAUAAUAACUUAGCGAAUCGUGACUCGUUUACGAUAAAUCAUUCAAGUUUCUGCCCUAUCAUGCUUUCGAUGGUAGUGUAUUGGACUACCAUGGCUCUCACGGGUAACGGAGAAUUAGGGUUCGAUUCCGGAGAAGGAGCCUGAGAAACGGCUACUACAUCUAAGGAAGGCAGCAGGCGCGUAAAUUACCCAAUCCUGACUCAGGGAGGUAGUGACAAGAUAUAACAACGUGACUAUAAAUCGCGAUUGUAGUGAGGGUAUUCCAAACCGAACUUCGAGUACGAUUGGAGGGCAAGUCUGGU